GGCUGUACUGCUGCUGCAUCUUCCUGGCCGUCUCUAUUGCUCCUGCCAAAUCUCCCCUGUAAGGUACAAGAUGAACUGACGAGAGACUGGGCUGCAUUCUGAAACACUUCUGUGCCAUAUCUAUACUACUUCCAAAAGGCUGGUGGGGUCACUUACCUGUUGAGUCUGCUCUUCACCAGCACACCAAGAGUCACAGUGUCAGCCUCCACCAGGCCCCCUUGCAGCAAGAGACUGAAAAGUUUGUCUGUCUCCUGUGGGUUGCUGGUGCUGGCUGAUGCUAACAGCAAGUUCCUGCAAUUUCUCAAUAUCUGUCUGGUGUUGACACUUUUCCCAUCACUCUUUAUGAAAUACUCCAAGAGGAUCUCGCUGGCCUCUGAAAAUAAUGCACCCUUUGAUUUAAGGCAUCUUUUCACACUGCUAUAGAGAGUUUCCUGUGGUGAACUAUAGUUGUAUUUCUACUAACAUGACUUUGAAUGGCAUGAGAUGAAUGAGUACACAUACAAAUCACAUACAAAGCAAUAACUAAAGCUACCAUUAUAUGCCACUAUUGCGUAUACUAGGGUAAGGCCAUUAGCUGGUAAAUUUAUCGAGGAUCUCUUAAAACAUUUAAAAUACACACACACACAAUUAUUAUUUAUGAAAUAAAUAAAAUAAGUGACCAGCUGCUGCUCCUGGGAGAUGUGUGUGAUGGAAAUCAUCUUUUUACAUGUCUCACAAGAACAGCUGAGGUGGUGCAUGUAUGGAGGUCUUGCAACUGCAUAGCUUUUUGUGCAUGUGUAAAGGGUCAUCAUUAGCUUUAUCAGUUGUUGGCCUUUCCCUAAGCUGAUUAUCAAAGAUAUCAGUGACAAAAUCAUGAUAAUAUCAUGAAGGUAUCAUUCCUUCAGAUAACAAGUGGAAAGGAAUAAAUGUGUAUUGGUGAUAUGUUAAGCUGAAGAAAAAAAUUGCAUCCACAAGAGGAUAAAAGGAAAUUUGCAAUUUCUAGAUGGUUCAAUAUUUGGAUGUGGCUAUAGCACAGAGAUGCCUCAGAGAUCAUCAAUUAAGGAAAAGAUGUGCCAAAUGGUAGCAAAAGGGUUCAUUCCCAUGAGAAGUCACCUGGGACCACACACUCACCUGCAGCCCUGCCACUCUGGAUGAGGAGAGUACAAAGGUCCACCACCUUGUAGGAGUCCACCUUGAAGCUUGGGUAUUUGGUACCAAGCAGGGAGUAGAUGUCCAUGGCAGCUUCAGCAUUGCCAUUGUUUAUGUAAGCCAUGAGAACACUAGACAACAUGCCUGCACUCAGCUGCUGCUUGUCCUUGCAGGCACUCUAAAAGGGAAAUGGUGCCAAUUUAACUGCUUUAGUGUCUUAUGAAAUUGCUUUAGGGGUUGGACAGAGAAAAUCAACCAAAUGACCCCCACAGCUUGGUGCAAUAAGAAAUAUGAUAAUCAAUAAAUUUAUAUUGGUAACAUUAUUGGUGAUAACCAAUGAUGAUAACUGGCAAUAUAUUUAUUUACUGGUAAGAUGGAAAGUGAUAAAUUGACCAAUCCAA